ensembl:snRNA U6 U6 spliceosomal RNA
GUGCUCACUUUGGCAGCACAUAUACUAAAAUGGGAAUGAUACAGAGAAGAUUAGCAUGGCCCCUGCACAAGAAUGGCAUGCAAAUUCCAUGGACAGCCCACAUGGUA